CCGUUUAUUCCAUCUCGUCUUCCUGACACACGAAUUUAGGGUUAGCCGUCGCUGCGAAGGUCUGAUUCUGUGAGCCAUCAAUGGCGGUUCUGAAAAGGUAUGUAGUUCGUCGUUUCGUCUGCAAAUUUUGAGUCGGUGACUGUUCAUAUCAUGUUCGUUUUCAUCCUUCUCAUCCCAACCGUUACAAAUCGAAUUGAUUCAACCCCAUUACCCAAAGCUUUACUCUUCAUGCACAUUAUAAUCACGAUCUCGCAUCCAGUGCAUCUAAUCCUUCAUCUAGGCGGUGAUUCUCACCUAUAAAAAACAUCAGCUCACUGCAGGUUCCAUGUUCUCUGUUAGCGGAUUUGAUGUCAUUCUCUUUCUUCUUCUGUUUGGAGAGGAGAAUCUGAAGAUUCAAAUGAAAGGUGUUAAAGCUUUGGAGACUCCAGGAGCAAGCAAAGACCUCCAUCGGCUCGAGAGGCAUCUCCAAUGGCUGGUAAACUAGGUCGUUUAUUCCUCAAUGCCACAUCAUGACACACUUCCCACAUUAAAGACACAAAAAUGCAGGCUCCAUAGAGAAGAGAGUGGUUCCUCUGCCACAUCUUCCAAGUAUGGUGGUGUUAAGAAAAUUGAAUCCGUCACACAAUCUGAACUUAAUAGCAACGAUCUCAAUUCACCCCUCAGAUAAGUUCACCGAAUAAGGAUCACUAUAAUUACAUGACCAAAUACAUGUGUUGUUUGCGUUGUCUCUCCUUUUCAUGUUGGGCUCAAUUAACUUAUUAAAAAGUCUCUUAUUUAACAAUAACUAAAUAAGAGAUUUGUUGUUACUUGCUUUCUGCAUUAGCUCAUUAUCUAAGCUUCACAUUAGAAAAGUUAUAGUAAUUGUGGAGUUUCUGAUGGUAUGGAUGGAGUUGUAAUUGUAAAACUUUCUGUGGUCCCAAAUACAGUGAUGAAACGCAGUGUUCGGACCGCACAAACGGGCAUCUGAUUAUGUUCCAGUUAUUGAAGGACGUCCAGCCAGCACAGAAGCAGAGCCUACACAUACUGAUUCAGUCAUAACCUCUACCGAGACUCCCAUUGAUGAUGAAAAGACCCCAGUUCAAAGAAAGCUAGCAAACACUGAUAACUCCAACUGUGGAGACUUGGAACUCGCAAAACACAAUCGAGUUCCAUUUUUUUGUUUCAAAGCUCUAUUUUUCCUUCAAUAAUGUUGUAGUCCACAUACUUUAAUUAGCAGCAAGAGGUUGUUAUUUAAUCUUUAUUUGGUUAUUUGUUAUGAGCAUUACUUAAUUUGAAUUAUAAAUAUUUUUAAA